UUUACCUCACCUGAACUGAAGACUAAUACCUGUCUUUGUCAUUGACUUAAAGUUUUCACAAUUUUAUCUUCUCCACAUCCACAAUGUCAAUUUAUAUCAAACUUGCCACAAAGCACCCUUGGGUAAAGUGGAUUCAAGUUUGUUCAAUUGAAGGGUCAGACCCUCUGUCAAAGGGACAUAAUUAAGAAUUGGUGAAAAUAUCCAGGCAUCUUUUAAAACUCUUCAGAAGUACCACGUGGCCAGGAAGGAUGAGACAUCUGAAUUAAAGCUUCAUUAUAUAGUGUAAAUACUGAUUUGUUCAAAUCAUAACCCUUGGGGAGGGUUAUGGCCACACUAAGAUAUCCAAGUUUUAUGAACGAUUUUUAGGAAAAGAAAAAAACCACUUUGGUAUUUAGAAAGAAAAAUAACAAAAACAAUACAGAUGAAUAAAUAUUUGACACAAAUAUUGUUCUCCUAUAUACAGUCAACACCAGUAAUAGAAAAGGGUCAAUCCUCAAGAAAAGUCGUAACAAUCCAAGAUGUGUCAGGGGAAAUUGAUAUUAAAUUUUGGGGACAGAAAAUAACCUUGGAUGCAUUUGAUGAGGGAACAACAAUCACAGUAUCAUGCAUCAAAGUAGACCACUAUGGGGGACGUUGUUCUCUCAAUUCUACACCAUCUACAGCAGUUCAGGUAUUAGAUUGUUAAACUUUACUGUUACAUGUACUGAUUCAUUAAUCUAUUUUGUAUUGCUUGUAGGAGUUAUGAGAUUGAUCACUGUUCGUUAUCUUCACCUUGCAUUCAUUAAUCAUUUACAAUUCACGUUUCAUAUUCUUAUUAUAUGUAUUCGAUUCAAUUUUAAAAACAAAAUUUUGGAAAAGACUAUUUUUUUUAACUUUAAACAAAGAUUUGCUUCAGAUAUUAAAAUAAAAUGUAAAUCGUUGUCCUCCUGUCUAAAUUUUAACAGGUCAAGGAACACUUUGAUACGCUUCAAGUAAGGAUAUUUUAAUGAAAAGAGGGGAUGAAAAAAAAAUGUUAAUUUGCUUUCAUUCUAAAGGAUUUUUAAAGUAAUAAAUAUCAUAGAUGAAUACUCAUAUUUAUUUUUAUUGGUUUUCUGUGGAGAGUAAUUUUUUUUUUUGAAUAUCGAAUUUAUAAAAAUACAUUUCCCCCCCUUUACCAUGGUUAAUUUUAUUUCAUUACAGUCCGGGAAACUAAAGUGGGGGCUCUCUGCGUCUCCCUGUUCCUCCUCCUGGUGUGGGCACUGCGCACCAUACUUAAAUGUAUGAAAGCGCGGUGCCCCCGCACGCCAGUGAGGAGGAACCAGAGGGAUGCAGAGAGCCAUCCCAUGGAGGAGAGAGAAGAGUCCCCCCCCCCCGCCCCGAGGUUCCAAAGGUCUGGUAAAUUUUGAAACUCGGGGACGAUCCCGUCCCGCCAGGUCGGCUCCCUCUCCGCCGCAGGCGGGAUUGAAGAUCACGAAGGCGGAGGUACACGCCUACAACACCCGCUCAAAGCUUCGUAAAUAGAUCGAGCGGGGACUGAGUUGUGUAUUUUUAGUCAUAUUAAAACUGAUAACAAAACGUGAAA